rnacentral:tRNA from 1 species
UACAUGUUGAUGUAAAAGCAUAAUAGGUUUUGAUCCUAUAAGUUUUGGUGAGACUCCAUUACAUGUAG